UAGGGAAUCUUCCGCAAUGGGCGAAAGCUUGACGGAGCAACGCCGCGUGAGUGAUGAAGGUCUUCGGAUCGUAAAACUCUGUUAUUAGGGAAGAACAAAUGUGUAAGUAACUAUGCACGUCUUGACGGUACCUAAUCAGAAAGCCACGGCUAACUACGUGCCAGCAGCCGCGGUAAUACGUAGGUGGCAAGCGUUAUCCGGAAUUAUUGGGCGUAAAGCGCGCGUAGGCGGUUUUUUAAGUCUGAUGUGAAAGCCCACGGCUCAACCGUGGAGGGUCAUUGGAAACUGGAAAACUUGAGUGCAGAAGAGGAAAGUGGAAUUCCAUGUGUAGCGGUGAAAUGCGCAGAGAUAUGGAGGAACACCAGUGGCGAAGGCGACUUUCUGGCCAUAACCUGACGCUGAGGUACGAAAGCGUGGGUAGCAAACAGG
rnacentral:rRNA from 1 species